UCCGGUUGAUCCUGCCGGAGGCCAUUGCUAUUGGGAUUCGAUUUAGCCAUGCUAGUCGUACGAGUUCAUACUCGUGGCGAAUAGCUCAGUAACACGUGGCCAAACUACCCUUCGGACCACAAUACCCUCGGGAAACUGAGGCUAAUAGUGGACACCACAGUCCACCUGGAAUGAGGACUGUGCCAAACGCUCCGGCGCCGAAGGAUGUGGCUGCGGCCGAUUAGGUAGACGGUGGGGUAACGGCCCACCGUGCCAAUAAUCGGUACGGGUCAUGAGAGUGAGAACCCGGAGACGGAAUCUGAGACAAGAUUCCGGGCCCUACGGGGCGCAGCAGGCGCGAAACCUUUACACUGCACGACAGUGCGAUAAGGGAAUCCCAAGUGCACAGGCAUAGAGCCUGUGCUUUUGUGUACCCUAGGGCGGUGUACGAAUAAGGGCUGGGCAAGACCGGUGCCAGCCGCCGCGGUAAUACCGGCAGCCCAAGUGAUGGCCGAUCUUAUUGGGCCUAAAGCGUCCGUAGCUGGCCGCACAAGUCCAUCGGGAAAUCCACCUGCCCAACAGGUGGACGCCCGGUGGAAACUGUGUGGCUUGGGACCGGAAGGCGCGACGGGUACGUCCGGGGUAGGAGUGAAAUCCCGUAAUCCUGGACGGACCGCCGAUGGCGAAAGCACGUCGCGAAAACGGAUCCGACAGUGAGGGACGAAAGCCAGGGUCUCGAACCGGAUUAGAUACCCGGGUAGUCCUGGCCGUAAACAAUGUCUGUUAGGUGUGGCUCCCACUACGAGUGGGUGCUGUGCCGUAGGGAAGCCGCUAAACAGACCGCCUGGGAAGUACGUCCGCAAGGAUGAAACUUAAAGGAAUUGGCGGGGGAGCACUACAACCGGAGGAGCCUGCGGUUUAAUUGGACUCAACGCCGGACAUCUCACCAGCAUCGACUGUAAUAAUGACGACCAGGUUGAUGACCUUGUCCGAGUUUCAGAGAGGAGGUGCAUGGCCGCCGUCAGCUCGUACCGUGAGGCGUCCUGUUAAGUCAGGCAACGAGCGAGACCCGCAUCCCUACUUGCCAGCAGUACUUCACAGUAGCUGGGGACAGUACGGAGACCGCCGUGGCCAACACGGAGGAAGGAACGGGCAACGGUAGGUCAGUAUGCCCCGA
rnacentral:rRNA from 1 species